CUCCUUCGCACCCCGGGCGCCUGGGAACCUCCUCGCGCGUUUGGCCACUCGCUGCUCCUGGCAGUAGGGGCUUCGGGCCCCGCCGCUGUCCCCACCCAGGCUAUACUCCAGUGCCCCUUCAGACAAUUGGUGAAGGGCCAUUAAACAGAAAAAAAAAAAAGUUGGUGAGGAAGAAAAAGGCUCAAUUAAAAAGCUCCAAAUAUGACCCUGCUCUACUACUGUGAACUGAGUACUAUGUGCUUGGAUGUGUUAAGGACGGAGGCCAUUGCCAUGUGAAGAAGAAGGGCCCCAUUGUCUAGGGAGGAAGAAGAGGAUACCACCUGGGCAGAGUGCUUCUGUAGCAACCGGACAGCCAAAGGUCACCCUGGCCAUCUUCAGCGCACCCUCCCAGCACUCCCAUGGGCCCUGCCUGAGCUGUACCCCUUCCCCUCCUCCUGCCCCCUUGUACGUCCUGUGUCCUGCCUCAAACCCGAGCCAAGUCUAUUCUCUAGGGGCCAACUUCGGCUCCAGCUAAGAAAGAGUUAAAACAAAGCCAUCCAGAGCUGGCACAGUGGCUCACACCUGUAACCCCAGCACUUUGGGAGGCCGAAGUAGGAGGAUCACUUGAGGCCAGGAGUUUGAGACAAGCCUGGCCAACACAGUGAGACCCUCAUCUCUAAAAAAAAAAUUUAAAAGUACAUUUUAAAAAAAUAUUUUAAAAAAUGCCAUCCGGCCAGGUGCGGUGGCUCAUGCCUGUAAUCCUAGCACUUCGGGAGGCCAAGGUGGGCGGAUCACGAGGUCAGGAGAUCGAGACCAUCCUGGCUAACACGGUGAAACCUCAUCUCUACUAAAAAUACAAAAAAUUAGCUGGGUGUAGUGGCA
rnacentral:lncRNA from 1 species